UACGUAGGGUGCGAGCGUUGUCCGGAAUUAUUGGGCGUAAAGAGCUCGUAGGCGGUGUGUCGCGUCGGCCGUGAAAACCUGGGGCUCAACUCUGGGCGUGCGGUCGAUACGGGCAUCACUGGAGUUCGGCAGGGGAGACUGGAAUUCCUGGUGUAGCGGUGAAAUGCGCAGAUAUCAGGAGGAACACCGGUGGCGAAGGCAGCUCUCUGGGACGGUACUGACGCUGAGACGCGAAAGCGUGGGGAGCGAACAGG
rnacentral:rRNA from 1 species